UCCAAAAUCAGCCCCUGCCCGUGCCAUCUCCUACUGAUUAUUGAGCGGAUUUAUAGUGGGGGCUCAGUUUGCCCCGUUGACAUCCCUUCUCUCCUUGAACCGGCUGAGCGUAGUUGAAACGACCUCAUUCCCGCGGGAUAAAGUGACCUAUCGAUGGGUGGCAGAGAAUUUGCGGGAAAGAUGAAGUUGAGAGAUGACUGAUAAGUAAAAUUUGAUCAAAACUGGUGCGUUUCCUACACACACACGAGUCUAUAGAAUUGAUUGAUCUAUGCAAUAUGUGAUUUUCCAUUUAUGAUACUGAUGGCGAUUGUUCCUCAUUUGCUUAAUUUGUUUUCAUACUGCUUUAUUUAUAUACAUAAUUUUCUGUGAAUUGCUGUUAAAGUUGAAAUUAUUUUAUACAUAUUGAGAAUUUGAGAUUAAGAAAGUAUUAUAGUUAAAUAACUUUUAAUUAUUUUAUACAUAUUGAGAAUUUGAGAUUAAGAAAGUAUUAUAGUUAAAUAACUUUUAAUUAUUUUAUACAUAUUGAGAAUUUGAGAUUAAGAAAGUAUUAUAGUUAAAUAACUUUUAACUUGCAUGUGCUGUUUGAUUACUCUAUCUCCCAAAGAGUAUGGAAUUGAAAAAAGUGCUUGAUUGGCCUUUUCAGCUGUGACUUUCUUUAGAUAGUAAAAUAUUUUGAAUUAGCUGGCUUGAAAUUAUUAUUUAGGAAAAGUGAGUUUAGCAUUUUGGCCCCAAAUGGAAUGCAAUAUGCUCAUCUCCACUUCAGUCACUAUAUUGAUUAAUAUUGUAAGUUUUUACUUGGGUUUAACUAUUCCAGUUGGACUUUUCAACUUUAUCCCAAAAUAGUUGGGUAGGAUGAGAUGAAUUCAAUAUGGAAGCAUAAAAGUAGAAAGGUAAGAAGAAAAUUAAAAAGAUAAAACCACUUAAAUAAGGAAAAAAACAAUUUAAAUAAAAGAAAAGAAGCGAAUGGGGAUAAAUAAAAUAAAACGAGACUCACAUAUAGAAAAAUACAUACAAAGAACAAAAAAGGGGGGAGUGAAAAGAGAUGGACAGAAAACACAACAAAAAGGUGAGACAUCCUAUUCUGCCUCAUUACAUUACUCCAAUUCCAGUUGGACUUUAAGUAUUUUAAUUCCUUUCAUCUCGUCUUAGGUCAAUUUGAGGACUAUGUCAUAUUUGACACAUGGAUCUGAGUAGUAUAUGCCGUCGUGGGUCCUUGGACUUGCCAAAUUGACAAGUGCUAGUACUAUUGUGCUAAGGCUGGAUUGAAAUUGUAAAACCAAUUAAUGUUUUUCAUUUUUAAAAUUAUGGGAAUAAUUAGAAACUACAGCACCCAAGCUCUCUUAAUUAAAUCUUUGCAAUUUCCUUUUUCUUUUUCUUGUAGUUUGCUUGCUGAUUUACUUCCUUUUCAUCUAUAGACUCGUAUAUGUCCCUACAUUUAUCCUGAAAUCUGAAACAACUUAUAUCUAAUUUGAUGGAGCCUUACUGUUAAUAUGGAGCUGUCGUGUUAAGUUCUGCAAGUCUGAUUCCGAAUUUGAUAGAGCUAUGCAAACAUAAUGCAGAAUAAUGAUCUGCCAAAGUAUUGAGCAAGUAUAUUGUAACAUUUUCUCGACCUAAUAUAAAUUAUUGAAAAUCUGAAGCAAAAUUGUAUGAAUUUUGUAAGAAGUUUGAGAACUUUAAUUAUUUGCAAUAGUUUAUCAUUAUUUUGAUAACUUGACUAAAGUGGGAUUUAGAUCUGAUAAAAGGUUAGAAUCAGUUCAAAAUUUAACUAUAAAGAUCAGCACUGCAGAAAAACCAUUUUACAUUACUAUACCUGUAUUGUCUAUAAUAUACAUACCUAGUCAAAUUUGUUGUUGUGACUGUGAGAUUUUAUACAAAAACAAGUAGUAGUCGGUUAUACUGGUUAAAGUUGUAUUGAAGGGUUAUACUUAUUUUGUUGAAGUUAAAACUAACGAACUAGCAGGAAACUAGACUGGCAAAAGACUCAAACUGAUAAACUUUCUUCUUCUUGGAAUACCAGGUCUUCAUGUUUUUACAUAUAUCUUCAUCUUGCAAGAUCUAUGGCACUAAAACUUUGAUGGUGUAUUGUGUGGGGAGACAUGGGCACAACAUAUGUGGGUGGGCACGAGAGAGAGAAGUUUUUUAUAUAUUUUUUUGUUUAUAUGACAUAAUACACCAAGCUUGCAAUGAAUUUACAAGGAGCUUCUACUGCAAAGAUAACAUAUUAGUCUCAAUAGAGACAUUUUGGCUACUGAACCAAUGAAUAUUAAAAUAUGCAUACACUGGAUGACCUUGGGAUAUAUGGUUGCAAAUUGCCAUUACAUACAAGCUGUGACAAACUCCUCUGUAGGUCAAUACAUGUCUAUGCAUUUGGCUCUGCUUUUUUGUUUUGAAAAGAAUGACCAAUACCGGGGCUGUGACCAGGACCCUUACUCGCCUCGUUUGAUUGAAUUUCAACAUUGUGUUCAGUGUAAGAGUGCCCAAUACCAGGGCUGUUGCCUGGUGUUGUUGGUCGAAAGUCAUCUAUAGAUUCUGCAACUGCAGAAAAUCCCAGACUUUGAGUAGAUGUUGGGAAAGUUUCUUUCUUUUUUACAACUGAAUGCUCAACACCAUGGUUAUCAUCUUCAGAUGUCACUUGUACAUCAUAUUCCUUUCUUGUGGGGGUUUUCUGUGUGUUGAUAUUUCUGCUGUCAUGCUUUCCCAUAUUCCUUCCAUCUUCAAUGAGAUGAACUUCUUGUUUCUUCAUUGAUAUUAGUUGCCUUCCCUCGGUAAGUAAAAUUUCAUGGCAGGCGAUUACUGCAAGAAGAAAUGUCCAAGUGUGGAUGAGUUUCAUGUGGGCCAUAACAAGGCAAGAAAAAGAUUGUGUAUGUUUAAAAUGAAAGGUUCUCCCUGUUGGUUGUGAGAGAGGGGGAGGGUUGGAGCCUUGGUUGGAGAAUGAGAGAAGAGUGGAAUGUAGGCAAUCUUGUUACCUCCUUUGGUAUUUAUAAUCAUGGGGAGCAUACAAUACAAGGAUAGUAGCCGCUAAAUUGUCUUAAUAUAAAUUUUGACAGAUGACAUUCUUUUGAGGUUCCUAUUUGAACGAUGCAUAUUUGGUGUAGCUAAUGAUGUUUUUUUUUUGUUUUUGAUUUGUAUUUUAAUAUAAUGUAUUGUAUAUCUGCUAUUGUUCUUUUUUCUCCUUUUCUAGUCCUCUUGGUUCAGUCCUUUCUACUAACUUUCUUUCAUCUUUCACUCCCCCUUUCCUAAUUUGACUGUCAUGUUUAUAACUAUGUGUGCGCAUGGAUUUUAAUAUGUACCAAUAACAUAUUUGGAUAUAAUAUUUUGAGUCAACAGUCGUUAACAGAAGAAACAGACAACAGUCUUAUACUGGAUGGAUACUAUACAAACUGUAAAAAGUAUAAUUAUGUAUGAAAAAAAUAUAACCCGCAAAGCAAAACUGCUACCAUUUUUAGUUUAGGGACACUAUUGACCUCCCGCAAACUCUAUUUUUUUCAUAUUUAUUUUAUUUUCCUGAAAUGCAUUAUAGAUGUUGAAGAAUGACUUAGAAAUAUCACGCUAUAAAGUAUUAUCUUUAAACAUGUGGUUGAAAUGCCAUAAAAUCCUGUUCUAGAACCACGAUUCUUCAAUUGACACUCAAAUUGGGACUGAGGGAUUUUCUUUUCUUUUAUCAUUUUCGCUUUAUUUAAUUGAAAAGUGUUUGUUUGAAAUUAAAAAUAUUAAAGUGAGAUAGUAUUACCUGAAAAGUGGUUCGUUUCGGUACGCGGUACGUUAUAUUUUUGAAUUCGCUUCUCUUUCAUCGGCGAGGUUUGAACUUCGCGUGGUGGGAAGGCCUUCAUGAUUCGCAUCUUCCCUACGCUAGGUAUCUUUAUAUAAGUUUUUAUAUUUAGGAAUUCUCUUAAAAUCUAAAUGUAAUAAACCUAAGUUUUAUAGAAGAUUUUUAGAUUAAUCAACAACUUAAUUGUUUUGUAAAUAUUUUAGUAAAAAUAUAAUGUUUGAGCAUCCAAUACUAAAUUAUAAUAUCGAUAUUUAUGCAAUUAUUGGUUAAACCACCAAAAAAAAAUCUAGUACGCUAAAUUUAGAGUAUUGAUACGUAAAAGUAUACUGUUUGAAUACGCUAGUACCAAUACCCGGAGUAUCUUCCUAUCUGGUAACUGUGGUCAGAGACUCAGAGUAGAUGAAAUGCGACAUAUUAUCAAGAAACAUUCAGCUGAUUGAGUCCUGAAAGUUGAAGGUCGGUCUUUGACUGCAUAAUGACCUUUCAUUGUGCUGGAACAAUGCUUUAUUGUAUUAAUUUUGUAAUGAUAAUAAUUUUCAGUAAAUUGAAUUAGAAAGUUGCAUCUGUUAGCUUAGAAAUAUGAAAGAUGUACUUAAUUGGCCUUAGCACCACCACCACCGGCAGAAGGCAACAAAAGUCUGGAUUCUCAUGUACUUCCCACUUACCUAUGUCUGUAUAUAUUUUAUGUGGUUGGCUCACAUGCAGCUUCAACCUCUUGCGGUCGACAAAUUCAAGUGAUUUACAUCUGUCCUGUAGUUUGAGUAUUUUUUUGUUUAUGGUAUGUGCAAGCUUUUUGAGUGAAUGAUAUGAUUACUUAGCUGCUGAAAGGUUAAGAUUCCACAAGAGAUAUCCUUAAUAAUUUGAAAUAGACCCUUAUUUUGUAGUUUUCCUGUAAGUAUCUGCAAGUGCUGCUCUUUAAAAUGGCUUUGUGAUCAGACUGUUAAAGAACCAUAUAUUGGAGUCUGCCACAAAAUAUAAUUCAUCUACGUUUGGACAAACUAUAUCACAUCUAAUAGAAUUGGCAUGCCAAAAUAAACAUUCAGUGGCUUAAUUCUAUCUUCUUUUCAUGUCCCAUGCAUCACCUUCAUGACUUCAACAAUACUUUUUCUUUUCAUCUAUUUUCUAUAGUUGGAAAUCAAAGGCAAUGUUCAGUUGAAUUGAGUUGAAAAGUUCUUAUAAUUCAGUGUUAUUCAAAUAAGCUCUUCUUAAGUCUACAAGUUCCAUAAGGGACACUCUAGUUGUAAUGCUAACUAUAAUAUGAUAACAUAUUUCAUUUUAGACUAAAAUACACUUUACAGCCCAAAGUUUUUAGGGUUGUUGAGGUUUGCACCUCAAUGUUUCAAACGUAUCUAUGUGCACCACAAAAAUCUUUAUGCUAAACAAAAUGCACCCUUCGAGGUUUAAACUGGUCAAAAAGGCACCCCAAAGUUCUUUUUAGCUCAACAAAAUGCACCCCAAAGUUCGUUGCGCUAAACAAAAUGAACCCUCACUUUUGAACGCUUAAAACAUCAAAAAGAACUUUGGAGUGCGCUUAGAUACAUUUUAAACAUUGGGAUGCAAAACUCAACUACCCUAUAAACUUUAGGGUUCAAACUGUAUUUUAUUCUUCUUUUUAAUUCAAAGGAGUUAUCAAUAGAAUUAUAAAGUUUAUGUGGUGCUACUGUGAACCUUUUUUGCUAAUCAUUAUAUGAUUUCUUACCUUUAUUUAUGUUUAUUUAUGUUGUGCUGCCUCCCAAAUGAAUGAAAAGGACUAUUCUGGACCCUUCAAUUAUUCUGAGUUAGGCAGUAACAAAUUAUGGCUAGAUAUACGUUAUUUCUUUUGUAGCUUGACAUUUGCUUUAUUAGUUGGUUUGAUUGGGGUCAAUUGAGAUGAGAUACUACUAUAUUUAGUUUCUCAUUUUUUGUUGUUUUGCUGGAGAUUUUUGGCCUUUCGUUGUAAAUUGCGGUAGAUUUAAUUAAUACUUUCUCUAAAAGUAGAGCAAAAGGCAUACUGCAUAUGUGCACUUCAGGAGGAAAUGAUUUAUAAUUACCUGGAAAAAAGAGCACUAAUGGUGGAAAAGUAAUUUUGGUUUGGAAUGGAUGGUUUACAUAAAUAGCCGCAAUUUGACUAAUACCAAUUUACGAAUUAGUGAAGAUUUGCUGAUAUUUUUUUUAGACAUAUACAAAAUUUUGACCUUAUAAUCUUUGUGGAGGUUUUACUUGUAUUUUUAAUUGGUUUUUUGACUCAAUAUCAAAGUGGGUCUCUUCUGGAUUUACUUAUUGAACCAAACCACAAUCUUCCACCUCAUUAAGUGGUAGUGUUUUUCUUAUUUCGCAAUCACAGGGUCAUUUUAGGUACCUGGUACCCAAAACAAAAUUAAGACGAGGUUAGAGAAGUAAUUACUGAAACCCAAAAGAAAACAAAAUAUAGAUAAAAUGAGUACUUCUUUGCAUGCGAAAGAACUGUUAAGGUUAUGGGAAUCUACUUUAGUUAAACUUAAUGUGUUAUGGGACUAAGACUUAUGGAUUCCCAAUUCUACCCUACUUAGAUACGAGUUGAUCUUAGGUUUAAUUUUGUUUUGCAUCAUCAAUCGUAUAUGCCACUAAUGCCAGCUUCUUUCCAUUUGCAAUAAUUUGAACUUUGUGGUCAAUAAGCAAAAAUUGUCAAUUGAAAUGUAUCAAAAACACUAACCCCUGAGGGUCCUACCACUCGUCUUUACAAAUAUAAGUUGCUAGUAGUAUUUUUCGAAGCAGUCAAAUGAAGUAAAUCAUGAGCUCAAAGUGGAAUUACGGAUUUUUUUUUUCCUUCUCAAGGACACUGCAUGGUUGGCUCCUAGAGCUCAGGAAGACUUCACCAGCCUUCUCCACUAAGUUAUUAAAAAUAAAAAAGAGUGAUAUAAUAUUAGAGAACAAAGAGUAGUUGUCCUUUGCUGUGCUAGGCUGUGGUGCAUGGGCAUUGUUAAUUUUUAGUGCUUAUUAUAUAAUGACAACUUGCUGAAAAGUGUAGCUUGAUAGUGAUUUUGGCAGGGCAGUGAAGGAUCUUCCCCAUGCCUUUGGAAUCUUAGUGGUCCAAGAUCUUAUAUACUUUUUGUUUCUGUGCCUAAGAGCAUUUCAGUGUAGUUCUGUCUUAGCAUGGGCUCUUCAAAAGCAUGCUGACCUCUGUUUCAAUUACAAUAUGAAACUUACAGCAUGAAAGGACUCUUAAAGAAUGAUUUGGUGUGAAGGAAGCUCUUGUUGUAGGUACUUAGGAGUAAAGGGUGAGUGCCAUAUAACAAGAAGAUACUUGAACUUGGCUCUUCAGGAAUGAAUUUCAAUGCCCUUAUAAUGAUAAUCCAGUGUAACGAAUUUCUUUUCUUAAACAUCUUCUAGUCGAGAUGUCGGUAAAAACACGUUAGGAAUGUUUCAUUAGCUAAAUCCUAAUGUGGAGCCUUUAGAAUGGAGAAAUUAGUUAGAUUCUAAUGAACUUUAGGAUAUAGGCAUGGUUUUGAUAAAUUAAAAUUUGUUGAGAAUAUAAUGUCUCACAUCAAAACAAAGUUAUAGUUCCAUGUCUAAAUUACAUGAGCUAUUCUAUUCAUUAACAGUUAGUUCUGAGUUUGAUGCUUCAAUAUGGUAUCUAAGCAGGAACCUUGGCCGACAAUAUCAUUCACAUAGUAACGCUUAGUUCUGAGUUUGAUUCUAUUCAAUAUGCAUGUUAAACUAAAUGGGCAUACAUGCUAUACAUCCAUUAUAUAUUAUUAUUAUGAUUAUGAUUAUUUGAUUCAUUUUCAGCUUACCACAGCUACUUUGGGAUCAAAAAGCUUUGUUGGGUACUUGGGUUGAGUCGACUCAAAUUAGUCCACAAGUCAGGGGGAUUAUGUUUAAAAUAUUAUGUGAGAUUGCUUAAACUUUACAUUGACAUAUAAGCUAUAUAUGUUAUUACACUUAUUGUCAUUCAAUUUGACGAACGGUCUAUUAAAUUUGAAUCAAGCUCUUAGACUAGCAUUAGAAAUGCAUAGACUCAGAAAUUAUGAGUUAUUCUGAUGAAAAAAUUUAUAGAUAUUAACGGAAAGAAAGAUUUUUGUCAGAGUUUUGAAAGUAUGAGGAUUCAUUCCAAAGAUGUUGAAAACUUUGACGACCUGUGGAUUACUAGAACUCAUCCUUAAGAGGCUUCUUUUCUGAAAAAUCAAAUUUGUAGUUAAAUACAUAUUUUUCAAAAGGUUGAGAAAGAAGUUGAUGAAAUGCCAUGCAUCAUUGAAAUAUGCAGAUUAUUACAGCUGCUCAAAUUCUGGCCUUAUGUGAUUGUUGAGAAAUUCGAGACUGCAAUUUUAAAAUAAAGAACUUACUACAUAGUAAGAGUAUGAAGUUCUUGCUGUUUUGGGUUUUACUGUUGGGGAUACUUCUGUAAACCAAUGAUGAAUUCUCUACAUGCUUCCAGCCUUUCAUAUUGUGAUUUGUGUGAUACAUAUCGAGACAAUUUUGUAUUACAUUCUUUCAGUUACUUUUCGAAGCAUUCACAUUCUACACUACCCGAGCAUGAGAAUUUGAUCACCACCUAUACACCUCAUGGUAAUGUAAAAUCAUCUUCAGUUUGAUUUGUUAAGGUUUAUAACUUAUAUGCACCUAGAAAAUAUAGGAAUAUUCUAGUAAUAUUAUUCCUAGGAGGUAAAUGACAAGAUAUAUUGAGAAAAAGUAUAUUUCAUCUAGUUGUUAUAUUGCUAGUGUGAAUCUUUUUAACUCUUGAGACAUUUUUCUUUUCUUUCUUGAUAAGUUUAAGCAAAGUAUUUGCUAAAUUUGAGAACUUAAAAUCCUAGUUUGUUUGUCAUCAAAUUAUUGAUUUUUCCUUUCUGAUGUUUUUUUGUUGUCCUUUUAUUAAACCUUUGCGAGUGAAUAGAAGGUGAACAUUAAAUUAUAAACUCAAGGAUGAUAGGCACAUUGCACCCGUUAGCACAUUAAAACUAGAGUUUAUCUACAAAAAUAGAUUGAGAAUAUUAUUAUAUGAUGAAUCAUAAUAGAUGGUACAUGCAAAUAUACAAAUCACUUUUUAGCACAAUGAAUGAGAUGCACAGCACUGAACAAUUUACACAACCUUUACAAUAUGAUAGGCAUGUUUAUCAACAAGGUUGCCCAAUCCCUAGUUUUGAAUGGAGUGUCCAACUCCAGGGCUGUGACCUGGUGUUGUAGGUCUGAAGUCAACCACGUGAUCUGGUGGUGGAAGUGGCUGAGUCUUGCCUAAAGCCUGACUUGGUGGCAUUGGUGUCAUAGGUGCUGAUGGCACAGCUUCAUCAGCAUAUGCUGUUUUAUCUAUGCUCUUACCAGCAAUCUGUUUGGUCUCUUUUUCAGAUACCAAGCGAGAAUGAAGGUUCGGGAUAUCAUAUUUCUUUUGGAAUUUCAAAUGCCUUCCCUCAAUAGACUGAAUUUCAAGGAAGAGAGUCAAUACGAGGAAAAGAGUAGCAAGGAUUAAUUGUGUUUGAGCCAUGGAGAUGGAGACAAAGAGUGAGGGAGGCAGGGAGCUAGGCAAUAGAGGGAAGCAAGAUGAUUAAAACUCUUUGAUCUCUUGGGUAUUUAUAGAGCUGAAAGAGCCAUGUACAUGUACUGGUCUUGGAGAUUCUUGGAGAUACAAUAUUUGGAAAACUUAGGUCGUCUCAUUUCUUUUCUCCCUCUAAAGUGAAUACUCGUGUAUGAUGCAUAAACUUUAUUUUUAUCCAGUAUUUUAUGGUUACUAAAUAAUUAAGAUUGUUAGAAUAAUCUAUGAAUGGUUUACAUUCUUUUAUCUUCUAUGAAGGGUUUACCAUUGUUUUGCAGCCACAGAGAUUUCAGAGUGCUGAAUAAACUUAUGUUCUCCAUCUGUUAGUCACAGCUGAAAUCAAGGAGGCCACAGCCUAAAGGUAAGUUAAACAUCUCAACAUGCAUGGUGGGGUUCGUGUGCAGCGUGAGACUAAUAAAUAUAUAAUAUGCUAAGAGGUUAAGAGUACUUUAUUAUGUAUAUUAGCACUUAGCAGUGGUGUUUGGAGGACGAAUUGGAACUGUAAGACCCACUAUUGAGGUUUUUUAAACAUUCUUCUGAUAAUUUUUUCUUGUUUUGUUCUUCUCCACUUAGUUCUUUCACAUAAAAGGCCACACUUGAAGUCAAACGUGGUUACCAUUCCAACUAGAAACUCCGAUUCUCUUGUUUUGUAGCUUGGAUGCCUUUUAAUUGUAACCAUAAACCAACUAUAUAUUGUUUUUAGCUACC
rnacentral:lncRNA from 1 species